rnacentral:rRNA from 1 species
CCUACGGGAGGCAGCAGUGAGGAAUAUUGGUCAAUGGACGAGCGUCUGAACCAGCCAAGUAGCGUGAAGGAUGACUGCCCUAUGGGUUGUAAACUUCUUUUAUAUGGGAAUAAAACGUUCCACGUGUGGGAUUUUGUAUGUACCAUAUGAAUAAGGAUCGGCUAACUCCGUGCCAGCAGCCGCGGUAAUACGGAGGAUCCGAGCGUUAUCCGGAUUUAUUGGGUUUAAAGGGAGCGUAGGUGGAUUGUUAAGUCAGUUGUGAAAGUUUGCGGCUCAACCGUAAAAUUGCAGUUGAAACUGGCAGUCUUGAGUACAGUAGAGGUGGGCGGAAUGCGUGGUGUAGCGGUGAAAUGCUUAGAUAUCACGAAGAACUCCGAUUGCGAAGGCAGUUCACUGGACUGCAACUGACACUGAGGCUCGAAAGUGUGGGUAUCAAACAGGAUUAGAUACCCCAGUAGUC